CAGUCGCCGCGGGAAUACGGAGGGUGCAAGCGUUAUCCGGAUUUAUUGGGUUUAAAGGGUCCGUAGGCGGAUCUGUAAGUCAGUGGUGAAAUCUCACAGCUUAACUGUGAAACUGCCAUUGAUACUGCAGGUCUUGAGUAAAUUUGAAGUGGCUGGAAUAAGUAGUGUAGCGGUGAAAUGCAUAGAUAUUACUUAGAACACCAAUUGCGAAGGCAGGUCACUAAGAUUUAACUGACGCUGAUGGACGAAAGCGUGGGGAGCGAACAGGAUUAGAUACCCCAGUAGUUCCUGUCUCUUAUAC
rnacentral:rRNA from 1 species